CGGGUAGCAGUUUGGGUAGCAGCGGGCUGCUGAUUUGCCCGAAAUGCUCCGACAUCGACCGACACCUCUACAGAGUGAAGCGGGCCUAAGUCGUUGAUUUUCUGAGAAGCCGUAGGGGACUUAAAAUCCCCUGAUCGCAAGGUCGUGCGGGUUCGAGUCCCGCUCCGG
rnacentral:tRNA from 1 species